UGAUCCAGCCAUGCCGCGUGCAGGAUGAAGGUCCUAUGGAUUGUAAACUGCUUUUGUAAGGGAAGAAUAAGGAGUACGUGUACUUUGAUGACGGUACCUUACGAAUAAGCAUCGGCUAACUCCGUGCCAGCAGCCGCGGUAAUACGGAGGAUGCGAGCGUUAUCCGGAAUCAUUGGGUUUAAAGGGUCCGUAGGCGGGCUGAUAAGUCAGAGGUGAAAGCGCUUAGCUCAACUAAGCAACUGCCUUUGAAACUGUCAGUCUUGAAUGAUUGUGAAGUAGUUGGAAUGUGUAGUGUAGCGGUGAAAUGCUUAGAUAUUACACAGAACACCGAUAGCGAAGGCAUAUUACUAACAAUUUAU
rnacentral:rRNA from 1 species